rnacentral:rRNA from 1 species
GUCCAGACUCCUACGGGAGGCAGCAGUGGGGAAUAUUGCACAAUGGGGGAAACCCUGAUGCAGCGACGCCGCGUGAGUGAAGAAGUAUCUCGGUACGUAAAGCUCUAUCAGCAGGGAAGAAAAUGACGGUACCUGACUAAGAAGCCCCGGCUAACUACGUGCCAGCAGCCGCGGUAAUACGUAGGGGGCAAGCGUUAUCCGGAUUUACUGGGUGUAAAGGGAGCGUAGACGGCAGCACAAGUCUGGAGUGAAAGCCCGGGGCUUAACCCCGGAACUGCUUUGGAAACUGUGCGGCUGGAGUGCAGGAGGGGUAAGCGGAAUUCCUAGUGUAGCGGUGAAAUGCGUAGAUAUUAGGAGGAACACCGGUGGCGAAGGCGGCUUACUGGACUGUAACUGACGUUGAGGCUCGAAAGCGUGGGGAGCAAACAGGAUUAGAUACCCCUGUA